rnacentral:rRNA from 1 species
AACGAACGCUGGCGGCAGGCCUAACACAUGCAAGUCGAGCGCCCCGCAAGGGGAGCGGCGGACGGGUGAGUAACGCGUGGGAAUUUUCCUCAAGGUACGGAACAACUCAGGGAAACUUGGGCUAAUACCGUAUGAUGUCUAGCGACCAAAGAUUUAUCGCCUUGGGAUAAGCCCGCGUCAGAUUAGGUAGUUGGUGGGGUAACGGCCUACCAAGCCUGCGAUCUGUAGCUGGUCUGAGAGGACGAUCAGCCACACUGGGACUGAGACACGGCCCAGACUCCUACGGGGGGCAGCAGUGGGGAAUCUUGCGCAAUGGGCGAAAGCCUGACGCAGCCAUGCCGCGUGAAUGAUGAAGGUCUUAGGAUUGUAAAGUUCUUUCGCCCGUGACGAUGAUGACGGUAACGGGAGAAGAAGCCCCGGCUAACUUCGUGCCAG